UACGGAGGGUGCAAGCGUUAUCCGGAUUUAUUGGGUUUAAAGGGUCCGUAGGCGGACUAUUAAGUCAGUGGUGAAAGCCCUCUGCUCAACAGAGGAACUGCCAUUGAUACUGAUAGUCUUGAGUACAAGUGAGGUUGGCGGAAUGUGUGGUGUAGCGGUGAAAUGCUUAGAUAUUACAUGGAAUACCAAUUGCGAAGGCAGGUUACUACUAAUGGAUUGACGCUGAUGGACGAAAGCGUGGGGAGCGAACAGG
rnacentral:rRNA from 1 species